AAACGACUCUCGGCAACGGAUAUCUCGGCUCUCGCAUCGAUGAAGAACGUAGCGAAAUGCGAUACUUGGUGUGAAUUGCAGAAUCCCGUGAACCAUCGAGUCUUUGAACGCAAGUUGCGCCCGAAGCCAUCAGGCCGAGGGCACGCCUGCCUGGGCGUCACACGCCGU
rnacentral:rRNA from 1 species